rnacentral:lncRNA from 1 species
UGCCACUGUCUUUGCUAAACAAAGGUUUCUAAAAAGUCAACAAGGAAGGUCAUCUGUCUGCUACCUUAAUUUUCGUAACACUGCAUCUUGGCAGGCAAUAGGAUGCAAACUGAGCCUAUUAUCAGAAGCCAUGCAGCACACAUAACCAGGUAUAGUAGUCCAAGAAUUUGUGUUAUUUUCAUUUCACUGGACUCUCCCCUCCCCCAUACACUUCUCUCAAUAUCACAGCUGGUGAUCAGGCAUCAGACCAGGCAGAACCUGGGCUGGAUGUCAUUGCCACUGAAAUCCACUACCUUUGUCACAGACCAGUUAAAAGCCCUGAGCAGCAGUCAGAGGGAAAGAGAAAAGAGAAUUCACGUCAGAAACAACCCAUUAUCUGCUUCUCUAUCUUCUGCCCAAAGGACUGUCUGUCCUCUGGUAUUCUCCCCCUUGGCAACUCUCAACACGGAGUGACAGAGACCAGAGCCCACAAGCCAGAGGCUGGGACAGCCUGGGAGCUGCAGGCACUGUCUCUUACCAUCGCACCCCCUGGCAGGGCCUUGGUGACAACCCCUGCCCCUGGGCCCAGGUCCCAGCCUUGGUAACUGUGCAAGAAGAGGUGGAUUGAUGCAACUGAGGCGGUGCAAAAUUUCCAAGGGACGUAACUAGGCACAAAAUGAAGAAAAACCAUUCAACGACAACAGAAUGAACUGCCUUUGGUACAUGCAGAUGCCACAGGUAGGACUGCUGAGGUCAGGGCACCUGGGAUCUAAUCUCACUCAGCCCUAGCAAUUUCAAGCCCUGGAGCCUCUUCACUGAGUAAUUCAGGCUACUAAUUAAGGCUAUCAAUAAUCCAGCCAUUGGUGACAAACUUGACAAGUUUACUGUUAAACAGAGAAAAGUCUACUUUUACCCAGCCUCAAAUCCUUAAUAGUAAAGAUCAAAUUCCUUUCUAAACUUUACUCAA